ACUUUAAUUCUCUCUUCUCUUCCCUCCAGGAUCGAAUCAAUUACCAGCCCUGGGGAAAUGGGCUCCCUCAUACGAUUCAAGCAAUUUUUAAAAGAUUGCUUACAGCAAAAAUCCAUUCCUCUCCCCAAAGGAUACCUGCCAUCCUCUUUUUGGAAAUCGUGAGGCUCGGAUUCCUUUUCACUUUUUUUUUAACAGAUGGUGAAAGAAAAGCUCGCUUUGUUUUUAGUUUACUUUUGUUUUUGUUCUUAAAAAAAAAAUCCGUAGGCAGACAUUUUUCCAAAAACAAAACCAGAAAAGAUUUGGAUUCUUGACAGAAUCCGGAAAUGGCUCGUCAGCUUUUAUCCGAUUGUCAAAAAAAACAACCUUUUCUCCCAAGAUUUUCCGCCGUGAUUUGCACUCGCCUCGUCGCACACGGGUGUGCCCUUUCUGGUUUUUUUCCUGCUGUGUCAUGCCCGGUUCUCCUAAGACAAGAGAAACAAAUUGGUUGGAGUGGCCUUGAGGGACUCCUCUGUUUUAUUAACAUCGGAAUUUUUGACGCGCACCCACGAAAAAAACCCCAGUCAGUGUCUGAAGCACUGCGAUUGAAUUUGGAAGAGAGAUUAAUUCUUAAUUAAAACGCUGCAGUGCUUUGCAGCAAAAGCCUCGGUUGAUUGCCUUUAAUUUUAAAAAGCAAGCCGAGUGGAGUUCAUCCAAGCAAUACUGAAAGAACAUGAAUUGAUUUGUGGCGUUCAUUCUUCUUUUUUUUAAAGGUUUUAGAGAGCUUUGCAUUUAUUUAAGUAAGAUUCCCCCCCCCCAACCCCGUUCAAAAUAGAACCAUUGAAUGGGAAAAGGCGAAGAUCUUGCUUGGAUGGCUGUUUAAUUUUCAUGAAAUCAAAGGAAAUAGUUUAAAAUCAGUCUUGGAGCCAUGCUUUUCUCUCUCGGAUCCAAGACAAUAUAUGAACUGUGGAAUCUGCUAUUUGCAAUCCGUGGAAAACGAAGAGGAACUUAUAUUUUUAUGCAUCUGGUGCUAAGCGAAACAGCAAAAGUGUUUCUCAUAACACAGACACACACACACACAUAUAUAUAUAUAUAUGUAUAUGUAUAUAUAUAUAUUUCACAUGGCGUAAGCCAGUUUGCUGGCAGUGGGAGAUUUGCAAGUCGACAGAGCGAUUGUGUCAGCUCAAUCAAAUGUGAAAUGUUGAGCUUUUGUGUCUUAUUUUGCUACAGAGAUCAUUUUUACAACAAUAAAGACAAUAAACCUUG